UACGUAGGGUGCGAGCGUUGUCCGGAAUUAUUGGGCGUAAAGAGCUCGUAGGCGGUUUGUCGCGUCUGCUGUGAAAACCCGAGGCUCAACCUCGGGCCUGCAGUGGGUACGGGCAGACUAGAGUGCGGUAGGGGAGAUUGGAAUUCCUGGUGUAGCGGUGGAAUGCGUAGAUAUCUGGAGGAACACCGGUGGCGAAGGCGGCAUCCUGGACCGACACUGACGCUGAGGAGCGAAAGCCAGGGGAGCAAACGGG
rnacentral:rRNA from 1 species